UUUGAGAUAUAAUCAACGAUGACUGUUGCAAGCUAUUUUCCUUGGGUUUGUGUGUCGCAUUCAUUCUGAGGAUCUUUCAUGUGAAACGUAAUACAGACCGUCGUAGCGAGCACUGACCUACAGUUUCUGCUCCUGGAGUUUUUCCGAAUUGCAGUAUGGCGCUUAUAACUUUCUGAGAAACGUCUUCCAAUACCGUUCAAGUUUUACACUCAGAAUUGUUGUCUUAAGGAAUCUCCGAAUGGUCAUCGUCAUCACUGCAGUAGUCAUUCCAUAAGUGAAGUGCCGUGGGAUUUGUAUAUGCAUCAAUUACGGAGUAGUGACAUUGAAUUUGUGCACGCUUCGUGUUGUUCGAAGUCGUUAAUGUUUGAACUGGUGAACAUCAAACUCUAAUUUGCUUUACUUCCGUAUCUCUAUUCUCUGAACUCCUAGCUAGAUAUUAUUCGAACAUUUUUAUACACCAUGGAUCAUUCUAUAUGUAAUCAGAAUGGUUCAGGUACAGGUGGACUUCUGAAAUGAUGGAUGUAUAACUGCCUUCUCGUAUUGGCUAUGGAAAAUAUAUUGAAAAAUUGAUCAUGAAGUUUUGAUCUACUUGAAAUGGUCUUGUAGGUUUCUGAUAAGGAUAGAAGAGCUUGGACAGCAUGUGGGAGCUUUUGAAUACUUAAAUGAUCUUAUUGCAGUUGCUGCCUCACCUUUUUCAGUUGGUGUGGGUGAGAUCAGUUAACGUUAAGGUUCAAGGUAAUUGAGUGUAUGAUUCAAUUCAUUAACGUUCAAUGCAUUUACUCAUGAAUUGAAGUGAGACAGAUUGCUAGAUGCCGGGUCUCGUAAGCAAGAGAUCGCAUGAUCAAGCACUUGCAGGCGAAUUUUGCAAACUGAUCUCUACAUUGAUGCAUGGCUUGACGAAAGCCCGCAACCAGCUCGUCCGUCUCAUGGACCAAGGGCAACCUAGAGGACCUCGCCUUUUUGGUGGCUAUCAUGGUCCAUCAUGUGCUGGGGUCAAUGUGCCCAAUCGCCACGAGUCUCCAGCCCGAGGACACUUGGGGUCUGCUAAGCAGUGUUUGCAUUACGGGAUCUCUUCGCCUCAGUCCAGAAACCUCUGCUCUCCAAUGACUGGUCACGGGUCAAAUCAUAUUGCACAACCAUUACAAAGAGCUCCUUUUGUCUGUGGAAAGGCACUACAUAGAUCUUGUGAACGACCGAAGGAAAAAGCCUUGCAGGUACUCUCACAAAGUCCACAGGUGCCAUAUUCCUGUGAAAAGCAACAGCAACUAGUUAGAAGUCACAGAAAAAUGGGUUCAAAUGUUGAAAUAUCUAUUGAUCCUCUUGAACCUGAACAACGUCAACCCUGCCGUCGUGAGAGCAGCUGCUGCAGAGGUAGCUCCAGACCAUCGGCCUCCUUGCAAAGGUCCAUCGACUCAGCCCUUUUGCAACUAGGGAGGAGGCGUGAUGACUGUGUUGGGACUCAAUUUGCUGGCUUGCUGAAGGAUUUAACUGACGAGCUGCGAGAGCGCCGGCUUGCAUUUGAUCAUGUGAGAGAGUAUUGAUGGCACGCAGUUGAUCUGCAUUCUUCAUCCUCCUGGCUUUGCAGCGUUAACUUGGGGGGUUGCGCGGUUGUCAUUUAAGGAAUUCCUGAGCCUCAAAAAUUUCUGCUAGCAUGUAUGUCAGCUUUUUACAUGUUAUAAAUUUUUGGAGUAUCGUGCAAUUGGUUGUCAUUGUGCGUCGCUAUCCGCGAUUUUCUUGCAAGAAAGUAUGUUGCCACACCUACAUGGAUCAUUUCUGCGAUUUAUCUAUUGGAGAUCAGCAAUUAUAUGAGAGAGCAGACUGAAAGUUUGACACAAGAUGCAGAGAUAGCUUCCUGUGGAACUUGGCAAACGUUUCUCUCCGGUGAAAUUUUCCUUGGGCGAGUUAAUCGUCUUCAUCCCGAGGGUUGUAAUACGUGUGUUACAAAACCCUCAUAUUUUAUUCAUAGUUGGAAAAAUAAUUGACCUUAAUUGUUCCAAACGGUGUUCAUAUGCAAACUCUGGGCUGCUAGGAUUUGUCGCUGAGGUAGAAAACUCGCUCGUUGGUCUCAGAGGGGCAGGCCGUGCGGAGCAUUCUUGUAGCUUCUCAGAUAACUUUGCAAGUAAUCCUCUGUUCUGCCAAAUUUGUUGCGCGGCAGGUCAGACUUGUAAAUCUUCCAAUCGUAUAAUGGCGUGGACGUAUACUCAGCAGGACUAAUCUUGUUCCACAUCUCCUUGUCAUGUUGGACCGCUCUCAGUCUGCCCAAGGAAUCUGUAGUAUUUUGCACGGCGACAGACAUGUCCACCACGUUGUCGAAGUUCACUUUGUUCACAAUUUUGUGAGCUUCAAGCUUCGACACAGCCGCACCUGUUUGCUCCUUCAGCAUAGUUUGUCUCCGCAUUGUGGCUCGUCUUAUCGAGUCUUUCCUGUGGUCAAGGAAGACGGAGCCGCGCUGAAGCAGCGUAGACCCUCUCAGGGCACCACCUUCUGAAGCUCGGCGUACCAACGUUGCUGCUCGAGCUCUUGACCAUCUUCUUCCUAACCAGUUGUCCAAUUUUGGUCUCUGAGAGCAGCGUCGAGGUUUGGGUUCAGAGGGUACAAUCCUUCCGCACUCGGACAUGACGCGUUCGUGUCGAUGCUUGAGCUUCUCCUUUAUGUCCAUGACGAACUUCUCCCGCAUGGUUGCCUCGCCAAUCGCUCGCUCUCUCUCCUUUGGCGAUAAAACACGAAUAUUCCAAGGUUUCAUUGGCGGAUGUGGGCACAUUCUUUUUCCGAGCUCACGGACCGUUCUGCUCUCAAUCUUUUCGCGGUCUGAAAUGAGAUUCAUCAUGCGCUUAAGAAGUGGACUAUCCUUGAGCCGAUCCUCCUCGGCUGCAAUGAAAUCAUCUUCCAUCAGGUCCUCUCCUGGACAGUCCCUCAUGAUUCCACCGAUUCCUCCAAUCUGCGCCGAAGUUUUCAAUUCCAAAACCAAGCCGCAAACAACUUGUUGCGAUGCUUGAGCUGGACAAUUGUCACUGUUUUCUUGUACGUCACCUUGCAACCAUCUCAAGUGAUGAAUCAAAACCUUCGCCAGCAACUAAUUCAUAGAGGUUUUGUUGAAGCAGUAAAAUCAUCACUUCAACAGAUUUGCUGCUUAAUGCAAGCGACUAACGGAAGAAAAUUCGUGUGCAACAAUUCUACUGGCUUCAAAUAUGUUCGGCAGUGGAGAGCCAAAAGAGUUUUAGCUUUUUAAUCUUAUUUUUAUUGUUACUAGCUUUGCAUCAACUUGAUAAAAGGACAUGAUCCAGAAGCCUGUUUUCCGAAAACUACGAACUAAGGUGACUUCAUUCGCAUUACGUGCUACAAUAAGUAAAAUCUAGUACUACCGUAGACUACUGCAAAGGAGCGAAGCGGUUCACCUCCCAUUCUAUCACUUCACCAUGACCUCAGAAACAAGAACGCAGGAAAUGUGAGAAGCGGAGAUUCCAAAAGACGGGGCUGAUUUAGUGACGGUUGUCUAAGUGGCUCUGGCAUCUGAAUGGGCGCUACAAUGUUGUCGUCUCAGAUUGCUUGAUUAUUUUGUUACGAGCUUCAGGGUAAGUUGAGGUGACUCGAUGCGCGAAAGCUUGAGCCAUACAGAAAAAUCGCCUCCAAGGGUUGCGAGCUCACAUGUAAGCAAUGCAAAGUCGCUUCGAACUGUUGCAACUAACUACCGACGCACAUUUCGCAAACAAAAUCCAACAAGCAUCAUUAACUGUAAAACGGUACAAGUGAUGGAGAGAAACGGAACGGAUUGAGAUUCACAUGCAGCCUGAUACAUUGAUAUAGGAGUCACGUGUUGAAAGAUGAACUACCCAGUUCUGUAAUUGAAUGAGGGCAUUAGUCAUCUUCCAACACCCCCUCUUGCACUCAUUCCUCUGUACCCAUUUUCCUUGUAUUACUGAUCUUCAGUUACGGUCAGUUGUUGUUAGAGGCCCAUUGUUUGUACAGUUUAACAUUUAGAGAUGGAAGAUGGAUAAAGACAUGGUUUUAGGAUUUGUGUGCAAGCCUUUGUUUGUCAUUAGUUUCUUGUCUUGUUGUUUUAGUGUCUUUGAAGCAGUUGUUGCUUCUUUAUUCGUUGUAUGCUUCAAUAUUUGUUUUACUGUUAUAGGGUUUUUUUCAUUCAGCACCAGUUGCUAUGUCUUGUGUUGAUGAUGCUACCAAUGAAGAUGAAGAGUUAUUGGUACCAAAAAAGACUUCAACUACAACUUCAAUGGUAAAACAAGGGUUGCACAGGUUCUGGUCUAGAUGGUUUCAGACCAGACAAGUUUCGUCAACAAUAUUGGGCAGACAAGGUAUGGAGCACCGAAAUUUGAACGUGGCAAAAUUGAUAAGGGCAACAAGGCAAGGCAGCGCAAGGUGUGGUAUGUGGUACAGGAGGAAGUUAAGGGGGUGGAAGAUCUGGUCAAGAACAUGUGUAUUGCUUAAAGAGUUUGUGCUUAGGGAGAAGUAGGGAUUAUGGAAUAGGUUAGCAAUUUGUAUGGAGUUGCAUGGAAGAUCAAAUUGUGAUCUAAUUUUAUAGGAUUAAUGGGAGAAUCUAAGAAGAAGAAGGCGAGGGUUGUAGCAUGAAGAGGUUUUUUAGGUGGUGGGACACAGGAGUAGAUGAAGAUCAACAGAGAAUAUUGACAAUUAGGAGGAGGAGGUGCCAAUUUUAGAAGAGCACAAGUUGAUUGAAAGAAAAGUGAUAGUGGUGCUAUGUUGGGUUGGUGUUAAUGGAUCUAAAUUGCACGGCCGUUUUAGAAGAGGCGGUGAGGUGAAGACAUUCCUAUCAAAGGAAAUCUGAGUUGUGGUGUUGUAGGGACAUGGAGAUAGAUUGGUAGCAAUAAGGACAAGAGAUGGCUUAGGAGUUGAUGACCAUGGUAGAUUCCUCAUGAUUUGCCAUGUUGUUGCAAGGUGAUAGUUGAUUUUCAGUGGUGGUUAGAUAGCAAGUUUGGAAGGAUUCUUGUAUAUAUUUUUUGGUGCGAUAAUAAGUGAGCGUGGUGUUGUGAUCAAUAUUUUAGUAUGACCAUUUUUUUGCUGAAGAAAGUAAUGCAUGUAAAAACUCUUGCAAGUUGAUUGCUAGGCAGUUUAAAUAAAUAAAUAGAAAAUAAAAUAAAAUAAUAAUAGUAAAAAAAAUUAAAAUUAAAAAAUUAAAACUAAAAUUAAUAAUUAAUAAAUAAAUAAUAUAAAAAAAUAUAAAAAUUUGAUAAAACAAAACCAUAAAUAAAUAAUGGUUAAGAAAUAGAAGACAUCUAACCUUAUGUGAGUGAAGUUAUUCCAUUGGACUACCAAAUGCAAUUAAGGUGGAUUGAUUUUACUGACAAAUACCAAUUUAUUUUGAAAUUCUUUGUUUCAUUAUGAAAUACUUGAUUUUUUGCUAUCUUCAUACUACUUUGAUUGUCACACCAAAUUGUUACAUGUUUCUUUUUUCCAACUUUUUUUUUCCAACAAUCAAUUUCUUUAAUCAAACGACUUUAGAUGUGUAUUUUAUAAGAACUCAAUAUUCAUCUUUGCAAGAAGCUCUUGAUGUAGAUUUUUUUUUUUUUUUUUUUUUUUUUUUUUAGAACACCAAGAUGUAAGUGUAAAGCCAAAAGUAAAUAGAUGGCCACUAGUAGAAAUUUGAUUUUCUAAAUUGCCUCCAUAAUUUGCAUCUAAAAAUCCUUGAAGAAGAUUUUUUUUUUUUAAUGGAACUAGUGACUAAAGGAUGCAAAUUUUCAAAGGUAGUCUAUAAUUUAUUGUGAAGCUUUACAAUAGACAUGCUAAUGAUUAUACAUAUAUUGACUUAUGAUGGAUAUUGCAAAAUCAAUAUUAGAAUGUAUCUUUGUUAGAUAGAAUUUUUUCUCCAUAAGACCUUCAUAUUCUAUUGUAUUUGUAAGAAAAAUAUGAGUUUUUUUGAAAAAUUUGAGAAUAGACAAAAAUAUAUUCUUUAAAUAGUAAAUAAAAUAAUUAUAUUUUUAGAAAAUGAAAUGAAUAUAAAAUAUUUUGUGAAUAAAAAUAUUGUAAAGAAUUUAUAAUAUUUAGAUGCCAAAAAACUUACAUAUUAUGAACUAAAAUAAACUUUUAAUAAUUGGAAGUUUAUUCUAGUUUAUAAUAAGUAAAUUACUAUAUAAUUUUUUAAAAUUUAUAAUUAUAAUUCAAAUCUUGAUCAAAUCACUAUUUACACUUCUUAAAUCAUCCAUGCAAUCGAGCAAAACUUCUACCAUUAACUUCUACUUAUAAUAAUAAAUCAUUAGAAAAAUUUCAUCUCUUAAAUAUUUUUUUAAUCAUUUAAUUAUUUUAUUUUAAAUUAAAAUUUAUUUAUUAACCAAAAAAUUAUCCAAAUAAAUAAAUUUUUAUCUAUAAAUAAUAAAUUUUUUGCCAUCGUUGACGUCUAUGGAUUUUAUCACGGAUCUUUCAAUCUCAAAUUUGUAAGAUUCUAUAUUUUUGACAGAAGAUCAUUUUACCAAGAUGGUAUAUUUUGUACCAUGUACAAAAUCUAUCACAGGUGAAGAAACAAUUAAGUUUUUUUCUUAAUUGCAUCUAUUGCUAUUAUGGAUUAUCAAUGAUAUUAUAUCAAAUAAAGAGACUCAAUUUAUAUCAAGAUUUUAAAGGUAGAUAUAAAACUCUUUUUGACUUUUCAUUAUCAAACUAAUUGACAAACAAAAUGGAUGAAUCAAAUUUUGAAGCAAUAUUUGAGAUGUAGCAUCAAUUAUCAUUAAGAUAAUUAGAAAAUUCUUUUGCCAUUGGCAAAGUUUACAUAUAACGAUUUAAUACACUUUCCUAUUCAACAAAUACCUUUCUUUGCUAAUUAUGGUUAUCAUCCUCAACUUGAUACUUUUGACUUUUUAAAAGUUGAUAAUCCUGAGACAAAAGAUUUGUCAAAUCAUUUGUCAAAGUUACAUGCAAUAAUGAAGGUGCAGUUAAAAGGAGCUCAAGAAUAACAAAACAUCAAUGCAGAUGUCUAUUGCAAGGAAUAAUCAAAAUUCAUAGUAGAUGACAAAGUAUGAUUACUUUGUCAUAAUAUUAAGACUAUUCAUUCUUAUGACAAAUUGGACUAUUAUAGGCUUAAACCUUUUCCUAUUUGUGAGUAAGUCAAUCUUGUUGCUUAUCAGUUAUAUCUACCAAAGUCUAUGAAGAUCUACCUCAUAUUUCACGUAUCUCUUCUUAAACCAUAUAAGACAGUGAAUAUCUUAAGAAGAAAAAAAAUACCACCUCCUUAUAUAAAAGUGGAUAAUAAUUAAGAGUUCAAAAUAGAAUGAAAGUCUUAGAUUCAAGGUGGCACCAAAAUAGGUUGAAAUAUCUUGUUCAUUGAUAUAGAUAUGAUACAAAAUAUGAUAUUAGAUAUAAUAUUUACAUCAGAGUAAGCAAAAAAUCUUGCAAAUGUCAAUGAAAAUUGAGGCUUUUCAUUGACAACAUCCAUCAAAAGCAAAAUAAAGAAUAACAAAUCUUCACUAUAAAAGAAAUAAGAUCCAAAAAAGAUAGCAUUCUACUUUCUACCUUUUUUUGUAGCUUCUGUAUAUUGGUGACAUUAAGAACAUGGAAAAUCAAUAAUUAGGAGAUUCAAUUCAACAACUUUUAUUUACUGACUUAUCAAAUAAAACAUUGUGAUUGUCACAACCUUUAAAAUGACAUAAUCAAGAUGAAGAUCCUCAAUAAUGACAUAUCCUUCAUUGAAUAGAUAGUAAAAUAUAAUGUGUUUGGUAUCACGACCUUAGAAAAGACUCUUGAUGUUUGAUGAUUUUAUUGAAGAUAAAAACAACUCUUGAUAAUGUUUCAAAUAUUUUAUUUGAAAAAAGUUACAAAAGUCUUAAUAAUGAUCAAAUAAUAGGAUGGUCUUCCUAAACUAAUAUAGGACAUUAUUAAUGGAUGAGAUGACUUAUCAACCAUCUUUAAAAAAAACAAAGAUUAGAGUAUGUAACAAACAUAAUUUGCAGCAUUUUGAAUUUCAUCAAUAUAUGAAGAUUGCUCCUUAUAAAACUCAUCUCUAGAAGGGGAGAUAAUAUCACUAAUAUAUAUAUUUACUUUAAUAUUUACAUAUAUGAUUAAGUAGAAGUAGAUAAAAAUAAAUUUAUUUCAUAAUAUUUUUUAGAAAAGCUUCCUUGAAGCUUCAUAGACAUUUCUUUGACUUUACAUGUAUUUACAGUUGAUUGAUAGAUUAGAAAUUUGGUCAACAAGUUAACCACGUGUUGAUAGCUUACAAAACAAGUUAAUUAUGUAGCAUACAUAUAAAAAACUUGCUUUGUAAGUUAAGAUAUACGUCUUGGAAAAUACAUAUAUCUUAACUUGCUUUGUAAGUUAAGAUAUACGUAUUGAAGUAAUAGAUGGUUAUUUAAGCAAGUUAAGAUAUACAUUUUGAAAAGUCAACAUAUUUUGGAGGUCCUAUAGGAUAUUGCUACAUUACUCCUAAUUAAGAAUAUAUAUAAAGGCAAGAGUAAAGCCUUUAUCAAUCUUGUCAAUACCUUUCUAGUCUUUAGUCUUGUUUCAAGACUUUUUAGACUUCUUGUCUUUGGCUAUAGCCAUUCUAUUUUAAUACCAUAUCAUCUUUGAGUGACUUUCUAGUUCUUUUGAGUGACAUAAGAAUAUAUUAAAGAUUUCUUUCUUCAAGAUUCAUAUCCUUGACACCUAUUCUUUCUUGAAAUCAUUCAUCUUAUUUCACAAUAGAAGUUUUUUUGGAGCUAAAAAAUAACAAAGUCUUAGCCUUAUUAAAUUUAGGAGCUUGAGUUCUUUUUAUAGAUAAUGACUUUGUCAAAAAAUAAGAUUUAUCCUUAAUUAAAAAAUUCAAACUUAUUCACAUUGAAGUAAUAGAUGGUUGUUUAUUGUCUUCUAGAGAUAUUAUGCAUGAAAUUAUUCUUUUAGAUGUAGCAACUAGUAGUCAUAAUAACUUGGUAAUAUUUAAUAUGACUAAAUUUCCUUCUAAUCUAUUUAUUUUAGAAUUAUCAUGCCUAAAAAAAUAUAACCUCCAAAUAAACUAGAUUUCUUAUAACAUUGAUUUUUUUUUAUAGUUUAGCUUAAUAUUUUGCUAGUCGAAUAGAAAUCAAUAAGUCUAACACAUUCAAAUCUUUAUUGAUAGGUGCAAAAGCUUUCAUGCAUGUUGUAUGAAGGUAAUAUUCACCUUUUAAUCUAAAUUACAAGAUGCAUGAAAGCUUUUGCAUCUAUUACAAGAUGGCUUCAAUUAACAAUUACUUAUAAUUAAUGGUUUAAAGUAGAAGUAGUAAGAAACAAGAAUAAAAGAAGAACAACAAAAAACAAGUGAAACAAGUACAAUCAAGCAAUGGUACACUACAAAACUAAUCAUAAUUUAUUUAUUAGAUUUUUAUAUAGUAAAAUAUAAAAAUAAAAAUAAAAAAAAAUAAAUUUUUAAAUAGAUAUGUAUUUUUUUAUCUUUUUAAUGAUAUAAAAAAUAUAAAUUUAAUUUAUUAUGAAUAAGUUAUGAUAGAUUAAAGAUAAAAUAUAAUGAAUAAAAAAAUUAAGUGAAUAAUUUUUAACUCAAGGAUAAUUUGCUAUAAAAGAUCAAGAAUUCAAGCCUCACCAAGGCUCACAAGUAUAUAUGGGUUGUUAAAAGAGGCUACAAGGCCUUAGUCUUAUCUUCUUACCUAUAUCCAAGGUGCUACAACCUAUGUAGAACUUGUACAUGUCUUUUUACAUAAGGACUAGACUAGCUAUUAGUCCUCUUAUUUUCUACUAAUAAAACUUAAAUUUUUAUAUUUUUUACUUCAUUAUGGUAUUCAUAAAUACCCAAUUAGCUUAGAAACCUUAAAUUUCCUUCGAAUAUUGCUUUAUUUCUUCAUAAUAGCUCCCAAGGUGGCAAAACUUAAUUUUACCAAAAUCUUAAAAUUUCUAUAAAAAUUCCUAAAAAUUUUUUAAAAAAUUAUAUGAUAUUUUUAUAAUACUAUUAUCUAUUUAAGGCUAUAUUUUCUUAUCUUAGUGAUUUUUUUACUCAUAAAAUUAAUUUAUAUCUACUAAAAAUCCUAUUUUUUAUAUAAUUAAUUAGAAAGACAUGAAGUUCUCUUCAUGCUUCUUCUAACUACUAAUUAAUCAUUGAUAGGAUUUUUAUAAGUAAUAUAUGUAGAUAGAAAGCCGAUAAAGAAAUUGAUCUCAAUAAUUAAUCCUUUAUACUUAAUAAUAAAUAAAAAUACUAAAUUAAUUAAGAUAAUUACUUCUAAGACUUACUAAGUUUUUAUUUUUAUGAAUUUUCUUCCAAUAAGACUUUUAUAAUUUAUAAAUACUUCUAAGUUCUAGUAUAUAAGCAAAUUAUUAAAAAAAACUCUAGUUUUUAUUUUUUAUAUAAUUGAAUAAUUUAAAACUAUAUUUUUAAUUAAUCCAUUAAUUAAGAUGCAUUGGUAGGAUUCACAUGUUGCAAAAGAAAGAUCAAAUUUUUCUAUAUAUACCACAUCUAUUUUUGAUGGAAAAAAGAUUUCAAGCAACAUUUCAAGAAAAUAUUGAGAUUAUUAAGACAUUUUUGAAAAGAAGAAUAUAGAUAUUCUGGCAAAAUAUGGUCUAUAUGAUAGUUCCAUUGAUCUUUAAAGAAUUCAAUCACCAUUUGGACCAAUCUAUUGCCUAUUAAAACCAAGUUGGCUACACUCAAAGAGUAUAUUGAUGAAAAUUUGGCUAAGAACUUCAUAUGCCAGUCUAAAUGUCCAACAAUGGUUCUUAUCUUAAUUGUAAAAGAAAAUGAAUCUUUACGAAUAUGUGUGGACUAUCAAAGAUUCAAUAAGAUUAUCAUUAAGAAUAAGUAUCCUUUACUUUUGAUUUUAAAACUUCUUAAUUAACUCAAUCAAGUAAAGAUCUACACCAAAAUAAAUCUACAAGGAACAUACAACCUUGUUGCCAAUUUUGUUAAAACAUGUUUUUAUCAAGAUUUGAUUUCAAGUUCACUUGUCAAUAAAAAAAAAAAAAAAAAAAUUAGUAGAUACUCUUUUUAAACAUUCUUAUUUUGAAUAAAAAAAAGAUGUAGCUUUUAAUCGACAAAGAAUUUUUUUUUUUAAAGUUGAAGCAUUUUCAUCUUCAAGCAAUAAAAUCAACAUUGAUUGUUGAUUCAACUUUUGCCAAGCAAAUUCAAUCAAGUAUGUCAUUUGAUUGUCUUAUUUAUGACAUUAAGAAUACUUCUUCAAAGUCUCUUGAUACUUUUAAGUUUCAAUUCAAAAACAAACUAUUGUAUUUCAAAGGUUGCUCGUAUGUUCUAGAAAAAAAAACAUGUUUACAUAUUCUUUUAGCACAUUAUUAUAUUACAUGAAGUCUUACUUGAGAAUACACCAGGCAUUUAAUUUUAGAAGGUAAAAGAAAUUUACAACAUCAAGUUUUAAUAACUCUAAUAGAAUCAUAAAUAAAUUAUAAUUAAAGCUUAACAAACAUAAUCAAAUAUUGAUCUUCUUCAAUUAAAAUUUUAAUUAAAUUAAAAAAAAAAAAAACAAAGAAAUCUUAAAGAACUUCUAAAGAAAAUAAAAAGAAAUAAUAAAGAAAUCUAUAAAAAUAAAAGAAAUCUUUUAAAAAAAUCCUAAAAAAAUCUAAAAUUAAUUAAUAAGAAUCUUAAAGAAAUCUUGAAGAAAUCCAAAAGAAAACUUAAAGAAAUUCUAAAAAAAUCCUAAAGAAAUUUGAAAGAAAUCAAUAAGAAUCUUAAAGAAAAUUUUAAGAAAUCUUAAAGAAAUUCUAAAUCCUAAAUCAAUUCUAAUUAGAUCCUAAAUUCCAAAUAAUAUUCUAAUCAAAUUCUAAACUAUAAACCAAAUCUUAAUCAAUCUCUAAAUAAAUCCUAACAAAAAUCAAAUCAAAUCAAUUCAAACUAAUUCUAAUCAAUUCAAAUCAAUUCUUGAGCAGUUUUAGAACCUCAAUAUCUAUUCAAAAAAUUAUUGAUCUUACUUAAAAUUUUACGAAUAUCUCAAUUUUUUAAUUAAUAAUAAGUACAAUAAAUUUAAAAAUAAUUAAACUUACGAAAUAAGAGAAAAAUAUCAUAAUUCACUUUGGUGUCAACCAACCUCUAUUUUUGUCCUUAAUGUAGAUCUUCCAAUAAUAUUAACUUCUCAUUGAAUUGUCAACUUGCUUUCAAAUUUUUAUACAUGUCUUAGAAGUCAAAUCAAGUAUUAGUUCUAAUAAAAAUAAUCUCAAUUUAAUUAAAAAAUUAUUAUAAAUCUUAGAUAAUCUUAUUGGGAAUAAAAAUCCAAUUUCUAAGAUCCUAACCUAUUUAAACUUCAAUAAUCUUCAAUCCAAAUAUUUGAUUAAGUUCAAAUUUACAACAUACAUUCAAUGCAAUUAUACUCACAACUUCAUAAAAUUUCACCUAUAGAUUUCCUACAAAAUUCAUAAAAUUCUCAAAUUAUAAAUCCUAUUUUAUUUCACAAAACCUAGAGUCAUCCAAAAUAAUCUUGACUUUGCAAAUCUCUUAUAAAGUCAUUACAAACUCAAAUUCUACAAAACCAAUGCUCCAAAAAACCUUAUAAAGUCUUUUUUUAAAUUUAAUUUUUUAAUUUGAAAAAGAACCUUAGAAUUAUUGUAGGUAUAGAAUUUUGUACCUUGGGAUCUGAUUUUGACCCAGAUCGACAAUUGGUCCUUGUUGGGUAUCAAUUUUUGUCUUCUUGAAAUAUUUUUUGCUAAAAUUAAUUCUUUAUUUUUCUAAUAUUGAUUAUUUUUCCUUAUUAAUAUUCUUAAAAAAUAUAUAAAAAUUCACUUUGGAAAAAGAUAAUAUUUAUAUUUUAAAAUAAUAAAAAUUCCUUUAGGAAUAUUAAAAAAAGAAUUUCUAAUGAAUCUUAAACAAACACAUGAUCAAACUCUAAUUAAACCUUAAUCAAAUCUUAGGUCAAACCUUAAUAAAACCCUAAUAAAAUCCUAAUUUCUAGAUAAAUCUUAGGCAAAUUCUAAUCAAAUUUUAAUUAAGUUCUAAACCAAAUCUCAAACAAAUUCUAAUCCUAAUCAAACCUUACAUCAAAUUCUAAGCCUUAAUCAAAUAUUAAACCAACCUUAAAUCAAAUCCUAUAGAAAAAUUUAACUUCAACAAUUAAUGAUCAAAUUAUUGAUAUCAAAUCAAAAUUUGUACACUUCUUAAUAUCUUAUUUCAGAAUAAGUACAAGAAAGAUGAAAUUGAUUCUACUUACCAAUUGAGAAAAUUGUAAGAUAAUCCAAUUAAAAUGUUGAACUUUUAGUACCAAUAUUUCCUUCUUGAACUAUUGAAAACCUCACAAAUUUUACUUAAAUAUUAAAAAUUGAGUCUAGUAUCUAUAUAAAAAAUUUUCACUUCAAUCUAAUUGAUAAAUCCUUGAAGAUCUAAAAAAUACUCAUUGACCUUCAAAUUCAAAUUUUUGAGAUUUCAACCCACAAAAACCAUCACAUACUUUAAUUUAAUUAUUCAAUUGAUCUCAAAAUUUGCAUACACAUUUAUAAUUAGCACACUAAGACAUUACCUAAAAUUCAAUUGUAUAUAUAUCAUAAAACUCAAGAAAUCCUCAAAUUUAUAAAUAUAUUUUUAUUUUUCAAAAUCUAAAUCAAUUGAGAAUAUUACUCACUUUAAAAAUCUUCUUAUAAUUCAAUAUUGAUUCAAUCGACAUAAAAUCAAUUUAAAAAUCUCUCUUCAAGUCUCCUCUUAAAUUCCAUAUUUUAAUCUACCAAAGAACUCCAAAGUCGCCAUAUGGAUAUGGUUUUAUGCCUUAAGGUUUGAUUUUGAUCCAAGUUGAUACUUGGUCUUCUUUAAUAAUCAAUUUUUGAUAAUUUUAAGUAAAUUUUACUUUAUCUUAUUUUUAAUUCUUUCUCAAAUAUACCUUCAUUAAUUUCUUAUCUCUUUUACUUUGAUUUGACUCAUUUAUGCUUCUAUAAAGUAAAUAGAAGUACCUUCUAUAAAAAAAUAGUAUUAAGACUAAAUCAUUUACUGCCUUUUUUUUCAUUUAUUUUUAUUUUUUUACUGCAUCUUUCUAUUAGGACCUUCUAUAAUAAAAUCCAUAUUUUUUUAUUUUUUACUAUAUAUUUGUAUUACAAUACAAUAUCCACCCUCUCUAAAUCUGUGUAUCUUUUGGUAUAUACUAAAUAAUCCAAAUCUUAUUUGAUUCAUAUUAUAUUUUUUAUGUCUUUAUCCAAAUCUUCUUCAUUAUUUUUAUUAUGAAAGUCAAACCAUCUUUUUAUCUUAAAAGAUUUAUGUCUUCAAUAAGGUCUUAUAUAUUUAUUUCUAUUUAUCUUUGUUUGAAUAUUUUUACUUACUUCUUUACAACUGAUAUUUUUAAUCUUAUUACAUCUUCUAAUGAGUAAGUUAUAUUAUUAUAUAUAAUUUUAUCUACAUAUGGUUCAAAUUUUUAUUUAGAAGACUUUCUUAAAAUACUAUGUUGAUUGUCUAAGCUACUAUUAUAGACCAAAAUCUAAUUACUUUCUUCAAUUGCCUUGGAUCUCAAUUGAUGUUACUUAUCAAGUUGUAUCUAAUUUUUUAAUCUUAUUAUUUUUAAUAUUUUUAAUGCUAUUUACAUAUCUUUUAUUUUUUCCUCAAGUUGUUCAAUUCUAAUAGCUAAAAUUUCCUCUCUUAUCAAUUCAUAUUACUACAGUAGCACACUCCAAAUAAGUACUUUUUCUUUAAUUGGCAUAAUAGGUUUUUGACUUAUUAUGAGCUCAAUAGGCAUAUAUCUCGUUAUCAAACCAUGAGUUAUUUGAUUAGCAUUUAAUGUAAAUAGAAAAAAAUCAAGGCCAUUCUCUAAUCUUUUCAUUACAAACUUUAACUAAUGCUUUCACAAUUGAUAGAUGAUUACAUUCAUUUUUUAUAUUUACUUUAAGAUUAUAAGUAAUAGUCCAUGAUAACUUAAUUCCAUAUCUUUCAAAUAAAUCACAAGCUUCUUAUGGAUUUAAUUCUCUAUAAUUUGUAGUAAUUUUUCCUACAGAUCUAUAAUAGCAAAUAAUAUUUUAAAAUAAAAAUCUACAAAUCUCUUCUAUAGACUAUAUUCUCAAUAUUCUAUCUUCUACUUGGUUUCAUAAAUCUUCACAAGGCAAGACCAAAUAUCUCAUUUGCCAUAAUCUAAUUUGCAUAAUAACCAAAUCAAUAACCCAUUUAAAAUGAAUAGCCAAAAGUUAUCUUAGAUAUAGACUAUCUCAAUGUUGCAUAUUAUAAUACAUUUGAUAAGUUUUACAUGAUUUUAAAAAUAAAAUCAUAUCUCAAUGAAAUUUUUUUCUACUAAUAUUAUUCUUUGAGUUUAGCAAAAGUAGCCAAACUUCUCCUAUAGCUUGUCUAUAAACUAUUAUAAAAUUAUUUUAUUAGUUUUUAGUGCUUUUCUUUAUUUCCUAUUACUUAUUAUUGCAUCCUAAUUCAUUCCUUUAGUCUCUUCUAUAAAAAUCCUUCUUGAAGCAAAAAACUAUAUGGAUUUUUUUUUUUUUUUUUUUUUUUAAAUUUUUUUAAAUUUUUUCAUAGAGGAAUUUUCUUGUUUAGUCAAGAUAUUCAAAUAAUAACCAAUAUCUAAUAAUUCUCCUUAAUAACGGUCUUCAAAAAAUAUCUUAUCUUCUUUACUAAGAUUUGAUAUUAAAUAAAAUUUUGAUUCUACAUUAUUAAUGUUUUCAACCAUCUCAUCUUUUCUUUCAUAUUUGACUUAAGACAACAUGUAUGUGAUCAAAUUAUCCCUUCUAGCAACAUGACUAAACUUUAGAUUUAAUGAUUGUAUAUAAGUAAUUAUCAAUGACAUGAAUUAGAAGAAGAUGCAUAAAUUUGAGAAAUCUAUAUAAAAAAAAGUGACAAAAUAGAAAUAAAAUAAUAUAUAUAUUAAAAAGAAAUUAGAAUGGCUAUUACCAAAAGACAAGGAAAUUAAAGACUCUUGAAUCUAGACUAGAAGCAAGAAAAGAAUUGACAAGAGUGAAGAAGGCUCUACUCUUAUCUUUAUAUAUACUAUUUACCUAGGAUGUAUAUGGCAACCUCUAUAGGACCUCCAAAAACAUGUUGACUUUGCAUGAUAUGUAUUUUGACUUACAAGGUAAAUUUUUUUUAUGGCAACCAUAUAAUUAGUUUGUUCCACAAGCUACUAAUACAUGUGGCAUGUGGAUAGCUUGUUGACAAAGUUUCUAACCUACCAAUCAAUUAUAAACAUAUGUAAAGUCAAAACAGCAUCUAAAAAGCUUUUAAGAGGCUUUUCUAAAAGGUAUUAUGAAAUUAAUCUAUUUUUAUCUAAUCCUACUUACUUAAAUAAUAAGUAGAUAUAUAUCCAUGAUAUUUCUCCCUCUUCUAGAUACAAGUUCCAUAAGGAGCAGUGAUUAUAUGUUGAGGAAGUUUAAGAUGCGGCAAAUUAUAUUUGCUACGUAUUUUGAUCUUUGUUCCCUUUGAAGGUAGUGAUCUUAUAUCAUUAAUGUUUUUCUGCUUUAGAAUGGAACAUUAUCAAUGGCUGAUAGGUCCUCUCUAAGACGAAGAGACCAAUAUGAUUUAAUCAUUGUUGAAACCUUUGUAACUUCUUUCAAUCAAAAUAAUUGUAAUAUCAUUAGGAGUUGUGCCUACCUCUAAUAAAAUCACCAAAUAUUGAAAGUCUUUUCAUAGGUUGUGAUAUCAAAUGCAUUAUAUCUUGGCAUCUAUUCAGAAAAGAACAUGUCAUUUUUGAAGGUCUUUAUUCCUAUUACAUCAUCUUGAAGGCUGCGAUAAUUGUAAUGUCUCAUCUGAUAAGUCAACAAAUGAUGGUUCUUGAGUUGAGUUCGCCAAUUGUUGAUUCUCAAUCUUUUUGAUGCCACAAUUAUAUAGAAACUUCAAAUAAACAUAGAAGAUAGAAUGCAAUCUUUUUUUAAUUAUAUUUCAUUUAUAACAAAGGUUUGCAAUUCUUCAUCUUGGUUUUGAUAAAUGUUGUUGAUAAAAAUCCUCCACCAUCUUUGUUGCAUUUACAACUUUCUUUACUGGCUCCUAUGUACAUUCACUAAUAUCAUAUCCGCUUCAAUGGACAAGAUAUUCUAAUUUAUUUUGGCACUACCUUAAGUCCAAAAUUUCUUCCACUUCAAACUAUUCAUUAUUGUCCACUUCUAUAGGAAGAAGUGAGGCUUGUCUUCUUCUUGGCAUGUUCAUAGUCUUGUAUAGUUCAAGAAGAGAUAUGUGGAAGACAUGAUGGAUCGUUAUUCAGUCCAAUAGAUGUAAUCAAUAAAUAAUUAGAUUGAUUUAUCCACAAAUAAAAAAAGGUCCAAGCUUGUGGUAGUCCAACUUAUCACAAGACGAGUAGUCCUGAUAUUAUUACAAAGUAAUCAUGCCUUGUUACCUAUAUUAAAUUGUGAUUGUUCUUUUUGAUAGGCAUUCACAUUAAUCUUUUUUCAUUCUUGAUCUUCUUUUAAUUGCACCUUCAUUAUUGUAUGUAGCUCAAACAAAUAAUUUGUCAAAUCUUUCACUGCAAGAUUAUCAACUUUUGAAAAGUCAAAAGUAUCAAGUCAAGGAUUAUAACCAUAAUUGGCAAAUAAAGUUAUUUAUUGCAUAGAAGAAUAUAUUAUAUUAUUAUAAGUAAUUUUGGAUUUUUUUUUUCCAAUUGUCUUAUUGGUAAUUAAUCAUAUACUUUAAAUAUUGUUCCAAAACUUUAUUUACUUCCUAUAUUUGUCUAUCAAUUUAAAGAUAAAAGGCCAAAGAUAACUUUAUAUUUAUUUUUAAAAUCUUAAAAAGUAUUUUUUAAAAUCAUGAUAUGAAUUGAGUCCCCCUAUUUAAUGUAAUAUCUUUGAGCAAUCUAUGAUAUGAAUAGAUAUUAUCAAGAAAAAAUUGAGUUGUUUCUUCACUUAUGAUAGAUUUUGUAUAUAGUAAAAAAUAUGCCAUCUUUAUAAAACGAUCUAUUAUCACAAAUAUAGAAUCAUAUAAAUGUGAAACUGAAAGAUCUACAAUAAAAUCCAUAAAAACAAAAGACUAUGGUUGUUCUGAAAUAGGUAAUGGCUGAAGAAGUCCGUAAGGUCAAUGAUGGAGAGUUUUUGAUCUUUAGCAAAUAUCACAUGAUUGAAUGAAAUAUUUAAGUACCUUCUAUAUUUGUGGCCACUAAAAAUCUUUAGAUAUCAGCUCUAAAGUAUAUCCAAAAUAUUGAACUGUUGGAAAAUUGUUGCAUGCUUGAAGAACACAUAAACGUGCUUCUUCUUUUGGAACAUAUAGUCAUCCUUCAAAAUAGAAUAAAUUAUUUUUGAAUUUGAAUUUGAAAAUAUCAUGAGACUUUGAAGAAGGAUUCUUCAUAUCAUGAAUAAGAAGAUUAGAAGACAUACUUGAUUAAAUUUGUUUGACAAAGGUUGAAUCAACAAUCAAUGUUGAUUUCACUACUCAAAGAUAAAAAUGCUCGGAUUUUAGGAGAAUCAUUCUUUGUUGAUCAAAAGGUGUAUCUCUUUCUUUUGGUAUAAAAUAAGAAUUUUUAGAAAUGAUGAUUGAUAAAACUUAUAAUUUUUUAGGUUGAUAUGUGAUUUUGAAAUCAAAUUUGGAUAAAGACAUGCUCCAAUGGGCUUGGCAAUGGUUCAAAAUAUGUGUCAAUAUAAAGUAUUCAAGAUUCUUCUGAUUUGUAUACACAGUGACUGGACUAAAAGUGCCUUCUAAAUGAUAACAUCAUUCUUGAAAAGAAUCUACAAUUGGAAGAAUUUUUUUAUCAUAAAUCUCAUAAUUAAUCUCGGUUGUUAAAAAUUUCCUGAAAUGAAAAGCUACUUAGUGAAGUUUAUCAUCUAUUCCUAUUUGUGAUAAUAUAGCACCUAAAGCAAAGUCCAAUGCAUCUAUUUCCAUCAAGAAUGCCUUGGAGAAGUCAACGCAAUACAAGAUUGGUGCAGAUACCAAUGUUGUCUUUAAAACUUCAAAUCCUGCUUUUGCUUUUUGAUUCCACUGAAGUUUGUUUUUACAAGUCAAACAUGUAAGUAGAGUUGCAACUCGAAAAAAGUCCUUCAUAAAGAUCUUAUAGUAGUUGGCAAAUUCAAAAAAAUAUUGAAUAUUUUAUACUAUUUUUGAAAUCUUAUAAUUCAUAAUAAUUUGAACUUUCUUAGGAUCCAUCAUAAGUCCAUCAUUUGAAAUGAUGUAACCUAAAAAGUCAACUUGAAUAGUGUCAAAUAUAUACUUUUCUAUCUUGGUAUAAAGUCUUACAUCACUUAAUUUUUAUAAUAUAUAAUGAACAUGAAGUUCAUGAUUUUUUUGUGUUUUUAAAAUAGAUCAAGAUGUUUAGAUAACAAAUAAUAAAAUCAUCUAAAAUUUCUCAAAAAAUAUUAUUCAUAAGAUGUUGAAAAUUUGAUGGUGCAUUUGUAAGUCUAAAAGGCAUGACAUUAUAUUCAAAAUAUCUGUACCUAGUUUGAAAUGCAGUCUUUUAUUCAUCUCUUUUUUUCAUGCAUACCAAAUUGUAUGCUCCUUGUAGAUCUAUAUUUGUAUAGAUCUUAGCUUGAUUCAACUAAUGAAGAAGUUUAGAUAUUAGAGGUAAUAGGUACCUAUUGUUGAUAGUAAUUUUGUUGAGUCUUAGAUAAUCAACAUAUAUCCGUAAUGAUUUGUCUUUUUUCUUUACAAAUAGAAUUAGAGCUCUUAUUAGAUAUUUGGAAUUGCAUAUGAAGUUCUUGGUUAGAUUAUCUUUAAUAUACUUCUUGAAUUCAACUAACUCAUUUUGUGAUAAAUUAUAAAUUGGUCCAAAUGGCAAUUGUACUUCUUCUUAAAGAUUAAUUGAGCAAUUAUAGAGAUGAUAUUCUCAAAGAAUAUCCACAUGUUUUUUCAAAUACAUCUUAAAAUUCUUGAUAUUGGCUUGAAAUACCACUUGAAGUCUUUGUACCAUUAGAAACAAGUGUGACAUAAAUGACAUAAGGUGAUCCUUCUUUUGUAACAUACAAGAAAGCUCUUGCAUCUAUAAAUACAUGUUUAAUUAUAUAAGACUUAUAUUUUUUUACUUGAUUAAUGACACUCUUAAUUAUACUUUUAAAAUAGUUGAGAAUAAAAAAAAUUGAAUCUACUUGAGGGUUGUAUUUUUUUGACUGUAAUAAGGUUAAAAUGAUUGGAUUAGAAAAAAAUUAAUGAUAUUAAAUACCACAAAGCUAUUAUGACCAUUGAAUAUUACUUCUAUAAAAAAGAUUUUAUGAAUAACAUCUCCAGAAGACAACAAACGACCAUCUAUGACUUUUACAUUAACAAAUUUAGUUUUUUUCAUUAAAGUUAUGUGAAGUCUUUUAGCAAUUUUUUCACCUAAGAAAUAUGCUGAGGCUCUUGAAUUUAAUAAGGUAGAGGCUUUGUAAUAUUUAGGUCUUAAAAUAAUAUUUAAUAUAAAACAAAGAGAGGAUUUUGAGGAGAGAAUAAGACCUUCAUUAGAUAUUAUACAAGGUUCCAACUACACAAUUCCUAUUGUAGCUGGACAAACUUGUUUUUUGAUAUAUUAUCUUCUUUGACAUUCAUACUUCUUAUUUUAUAAUCAUGUUGUUUUUUUAUAUAAUAUUAAGUAAUGUACUUAGAUUCUCUAUAAUAUAAGCACAAUCCUUCUUGACGAUGAUAAGUCUUUUUUUUGCUUAGUAUUGGAUUUGAAAUAUAUCACAUCAAUUUGUAUAACUUUUAUUUUUGAAUGUAUGUUUUGAGGAAGCAUUGGUAUUGCAAUUAAAUUAUAGUAACUUUAAGGCCGACUUCUUUAGUUCUCAAAUUGAAAUUCAAAAAGUCGAUUGUUAUACUUCACAGCAAAGUCAAUCACUUGACUCAAUGUUUGAAGAUCAGGUAAGUUGAGGAUCAAUUUCUUUACCUCGUAUUAUAAUUUAUAGAAAAAUUGGCUAAUAAGUACAGCAUCAUCUGACUUGAUAUCAGUUGUAAGUUGUCAAAAUUAUGAAGCAUAUAAUAGUACAAAUUGAUUGCAUUGUCGCAAAAUAUGAAUUUUGUUGGUUGCAACAUGAGUUGCAUCAUAUUUUCCAUACAUGAUUUGAAACUCUACCAAAAAUGCCUCCAAAUUAUCUAAUAUUGAAUUUCAUUGUUCAAAAAAAGAUGAAAACCAUGAUAAUGCUAAACCAUCAUUGAUAUAUAUAUUUAUCCAAAUAGUAAUUAUAUGAUUAGGUAGAAGUAGGUAAAUAUAGAUUAAUUUCAUAAAGUCUUUUAGAAAAGCUUUUUAAAAGCUUUAUAGAUGCAAUUUUGACUUUAGAUGUGUUUAAAGAUUAAAAACUUAACCAACAAGUUAACCACGUAUUGAUAGCUUGUAAAACAAGUUAAUUCUAUAUCAUAGCUUAUGGAAUAAACUAACUAUGUGGUACAUAUGUAAAUAACUUGUCUUGCAAGUUAAGACAUGUAGCUAGUAAAGUCAACACAUCUUGGAGGUCCUAUAGUAUAUCACCAUGUAGCUCCUAGUUAGAGAGUAUAUAUGAAAGCAAGAGUAAAGCCUUCUUCUCUCUUGUCAAUACCUUUCUAGUCCUUAGUCUUGUUUCAAGUCUUUCUAGUCUUCUUGUUUUUUGAAAUAGCCAUUCUAGUUCAAUAUUAUAUCAUCUUUGAGUGACUUUUUACUUUAUUUUAGUGACAUAAGAAUGUAUUGAGGAUUUUCUUUCUUUGAGAUUUAUAUCCUUAGUAACUUGAUAAGAGUACUAAUAUACUAUUUCUCUCUUAUUUUAAAAGUGAGUGAAUUAUUUUACUUCUAUUAUUGUAUUUUAGAGGUUGUGGACUAUCUACCUUUAAACAAAAAAUCUUAUUUUUUAAUACUAGUCUAUUCCUUAAAGAGAUUAGAUUAUCUCUUAUUGUAAAUUUUUUUAUUAGAGAUUGUAGAUUAUCUUCCUCUAAUUUAACUUUUUAAAUUUGUUUGAGUUAUCUACGGAAGGAAAAAAUAUGGAUGCUACUCUUAGCAAAAAUAAGCAUAGAUUUGUAACUAUUGUAGAUCUUCAUGAGCUUGUCAACACUCUAAGGAUAGAAAUCUCACAUAUUUCCAAUGUGAACUAUAGAAGUUCUAUUUCUAUAUCUAUAGAAGAAGUUCAAAGUCUACGAUAAGAAGUUGUGCAUUUGAAGGAAGUAAGUAGAUCAACUUGACAACCAAAUCUAGAGAGUUUUGUUUCUAUAAGUAUGACAGGGACAAGAAUUAGUAUGCCUAAAAAGUUUGAUGGAACAAGAUCAAAAUUUUGAGGAUUUUUACAAUAAGUCAAGUUCUAUAUAAGGUUGCAUCUUUUUCAAUACUCCAAUGGAUUUACUCAAUUUAAUUCAUAGAUGCACUUAUAUCAAAAAGUGCUCUUUUUUGGUUUGCAUUAUCAAUAGAAAAAGAUUUAUAAUUCUUUUAUGAUUUUGAUUCAUUCUUAGAAGUAUCUACGAUCACAUUCAGAGAAAGUUAUCAAGAAAGAAUAGUAGAUACCAAGCUCUUAUCUUUAUAAUAAGAAUCAUGGUUAGCUACCAUAUAUGCUGCUGAAUUUCAAAACCUUGGUUGCAAUAUGGAUUGGAAUGACAAAGCCCUUAUUAAUCAAUUUUGAUAUGGGUUGAAGGAUAAUAUCAAAUACUUAUUAUUGACAAUGUUAAAGAGAAAAUCUUAGGAACAAUUUAUUGCUUAAGACAUUGUAUAUGACAAUUGAUUAUUUGAAAGACAUCAAAAACAAAGAUAUGGUUAGAGAUAAAUAAGUCAAAUAAUUAUGGGACCUCCUAAGUUUCCAGAUACUUAUUUAUCAAAGCCAGAACCAACGUAAAUUGAUAUGAUACAUUUUAAAUCCCUUACAGAAUAAGAAAAGAGUCAACGAUCUCAAGAAAAAAUAUGCUUAUAUUGUAGAAAAGCAAAAUAUAUUACUCAACAUUGUCUAAAGAAAUAAUGUAAUUAUAAAAUGAAAAGCAUGAUUGCCAAAGAAGACAAUGUAUUAAAAAACCAAUUACUCCAGCUACAUUAGGAAUAGUUUGAUUGAAAUCAUGUGCAACAUCUAAUAAAGAUUCUAUUUUUUUCUUUGAUCUUUUAUCUUGUUUUAUAAUAGAAGUCUGUAUAAGACCAAAAAUUCACAAAGUCUUAGCCUUAUUGGAAUCAGGAGCCUCAGCUUGUUUUAUGGAUGAAGAUUUUGUGUAAAAACUAGAUAUAUCUUUUGUUAAGAAAAUCAAACCUGUGCAUUUAAAAGUAAUAGAUGGACAUUCACUAUCUUUUGGAGAUGUUAUAUUUGAAACUAUUCAUAUAGAAGUAACAACUAGUGGUCAAAAUAAUUUAAUAAUAUUCAAUAUAAUUAAAUCUCCUACUAAUUCAAUCAUUUUAGGAUUAUUGUGGUUAGAAAGAUAUAACCCUCAAAUAGAUUGGAUUUCUUGUAAUCUUCAUUUUUAUUCAUAAUUUAGUCCAAAGUCCUACUAUGCAAGUAGAAAUCCAUAAGUCUAGUAUAUCCAAAUCCUUAUUGAUAGAUGUGAGAGCUUUCAUACAUGUCGCAAAUGAAGGGCCAUCUUUUGAUAUAUAUGCCAUGUCCAUUGCUGAUGGUGAGAAGAUAUCAAGUGAUAUUCCUUACUAGUACCAAGAUUUUCAAGACUUUUUUGAAAAGAUGAAUGCAGAUAUUCUUCCAAAGCAUUGUCCUCAUGAUUGUAUCAUCAAUCUUUAAGAAAGAACUCAACCACCAUUUGGACCAAUUUAUAGCCUAUUAUAAAAUGAAUUGGUUGUAUUCAAAAAAUACAUUAAUGAGAACUUAGCUAAGAACUUUAUAUGCUAUUCUAAAUCUCUAGUUGGGGCUCCUAUCUUAUUUGUAAAGAAAAAAGAUGGAUCUCUACAAAUGUAUAUAGAUUAUCGAGGACUAAACAAGAUCACUCUCAAGAAUAAGUAUCUUCUAUCUUUGAUUUCAAGACUUCUUGAUCAACUAAAUCAAGCAAAGAUUUGUAAAAAAAUAGAUCUAUAAAGAGCAUAUAAUCUAGUCCACAUCAAAGAAGGAGAUGAAUGAAAGAUUACUUUUUAAACUAGGUAUGGACAUUUUGAAUAUAAUGUCAUGCCUUUUAGACUCACGAAUCCACGAACUGCUUUUCAACAUCAAAUGAAUGUUAUCUUUCAUGAGUUUUUUGAUGAUUUUAUUAUUUUUUAUUAAAAUAUUAUUUUAAUCUAUUCUAAAAACACAAAAUAACAUGAAGUUUAUAUUUUUUAUAUGUUACAAAAACUAAGAGAUGCAGGAUUAUAUGCAAAGAUGAAAAAGUGUGUAUUCUACACUAUUUAAGUUGACUUUUUCAGAUACAUCAUUUUCAAUGAAGGCCUUAUGAUGGAUCCAAAGAAAUUUCAAACUAUCAUAAAGUGAAAGAUCUCAGGUGUCAAGGACAAGAACAUGAUAAAAAUAAAUAAAUAAGUGAGACUUCUCUUAAAGAAAGAUGACAAAAUAGAAAUAAUUUAAUAUGUAUAUUAAAAAAGAAACUGGAAUGGUUAUUGCCAAAAGACAAGAGAACUAGAGACCCUUGAAACUAAACUAGAAAGGAGUUGACAAGAGUGAAGAAAGCUUCACUCUUGUCUCUAUAUAUAUUACCUAACUAGGGGCUAUGUGGCAAUAUUCUAUAAGACCUCCAAUAUGUGUUGACUUAUUAGGAUACAUGCCUUGACUUACAAGGCAAGUUUUUCUACGUGUGAGCCAAAUAGUUAACUUGGUCUUCAUGCUAACAACAUGUGUGGCACAUAGCCAACUUAUUGAUCACGUUUUUAAUCCAAAAAGUCAAUCAAAGAUACCUAUAAAGUCAAAGUAGUAUUUAUAAGGCUUCUAGGAAGCUUCCAUAGCAAAUAUUAUAGAAUUAACUUACUUUUAUCUACUUUUACUUACUUCUACCUAUUUAUACAUAUAAUUAUUGGCUUACAUGUGUAUGUCCAUGACAUUACCCUCCCUUCUAGAAACGAGUUCUAUGAGGAGCAGUCAUCAUAUGUUGAGGAAAUCUAUGAUGCGAAAAAUUAUAUUUUCCACAUACUCUGAUCUUUAUUCUCUUUGAAGAUGAUUGAUAGGACCUCUCAACCAUUGAUAGUGUCCCAUACUAGGACAAGAAGACCACCUAGUUAUUUGAUCAUUGUUGAGGCUUUUAUAACUUCCUUCAAAUAAAACAUUUGAAACACCGUCAGGAGUUGUUCCUACUUCUAGUAAAAUCACCAAACAUCGGAAGUCCCUUCUAAGGUCAUGAUACCAAAUACGUUGUAUCUCGCUAUCUAUUCGAGGAAGAACAUGUUGUUCUUGAAGAUCUUCAUCUUAAUUGCAUCAUCUUGAAGGUUCUCAAAAUUAUAAUGUCUUAUUUGGCAGGUCAACAAACAAAGGCUUUUGAGUUGAAUCCGCUAGUUGUUGGUUCUCCAUCUUUUCAGCGUUACAACUACAAAGAAGCUACAAACAAGGAUUGAAAGUAGAAUGUUAUCUUGCUUAGAUCUUGUUUCUUUUAUAAGGAAGGUUUUUAACUUAAUUUUGAUGGAUGUCAUCGAUGAAAAGCCUCCACCGCCUUUGCUGCAUUUGCAAGAUUCUUUACUGGCUCCCAUGCGCAUUCACUAAUAUCAUAUCUGCACGAAUGGACAAAGUAUUUUAAUUUAUUUUGGCACCACUUUGAAUCUAAGACUUCUUCCAUUUCAAAUUCUUCAUUAUUAUCCACUUCUAUAGAAAGAAGUGGAGCUUGUCUUCUUCUUAGUAUGUCCACUGUCUUAUAUGGUUCAAGAAGAGAUACAUGGAAUACUAGAUGGAUUUUUAUUAACUUCAGUAGGUGUAAACAAUAUGCAACUGGAUUGAUUUGUGUAGAAAUAAAAAAUGGUCCAAGCCUUCGAUAGUCCAACUUGUCACAAGGACAAGUGGACUUGAUAUUGCAAUGAAGUAACUAUACCUUAUCACCCAAGUAGAAUGGUGGUUAUUCAUUUUGAUAGACAUCCGCAUUGAUCUUUUGUUGUUCUUGAGAUUCUUUUAAUUGCGCCUUCAUCAUUACAUGUAGCUAUUACAAAUGAAUUACCAAAUCUUUCGCAAUAGGAUUAUCAACUUUUGAAAAGUCAAAAGUAUCAAGUCAUAGAUGAUAACCAUGAUUGGCAAAGAAAGGUGUUUGUUUUAUAGAAGAAUGUACCAUGUUAUUGUAAGCAAACUCUGCCAAUGGCAAAAGAGUUGUCCAAUCAUCUUGUUGGUAGUUAAUGGUACAUCUUAAAUACUACUCCAAAACUUGAUUAACAUGCUUUGUUUAUCCAUCAGUAUGAAGAUCGAAUGUCGAAGAUAGUUUUAUAUCCACUUUUAGAAUCUUAAAAAGAGUCCACCAAAAUCUUGAUACAAAUUGAGUUUCUCUAUUUGAUAUAAUAUCUUUGGAUAAUCCAUGAUAGUGAUAGAUAUUGUCAAGAAAGAGCUUAGUUGUUUCUUCACUUGUGAUAGAUUUUGUACAUAGUACGAAAUGUGCCAUCUUCGUAAAACGAUCUAUUAUCACGAAUAUAGAGUCAUAAAAACUUGAGAUUGAAAGAUCUAUAAUAAAAUCCAUAGAAACAAAAGACCAU
rnacentral:lncRNA from 1 species